rnacentral:rRNA from 1 species
GUAGGGAAUAUUGCGCAAUGGACGAAAGUCUGACGCAGCGACGCCGCGUGAGUGAUGAAGGCCUUAGGGUCGUAAAGCUCUGUUGUACGGGAAGAAAAAAAUGACGGUACCGUAUAAGAAAGGAUCGGCUAACUUCGUGCCAGCAGCCGCGGUAAGACGAGGGAUCCUAGCGUUGUUCGGAAUCAUUGGGCGUAAAGCGAAUGUAGGCUGCCAUUCAAGUCAGUUGUGAAAGCCCCGGGCUCAACCCGGGAAGUGCUUCUGAUACUGUUUGGCUUGAGUACUGGAGAGGAUAGUAGAAUUCCAGGUGUAGUGGUGAAAUACGUAGAUAUCUGGAGGAAUACCGGUGGCGAAGGCGGCUAUCUGGCCAUGUACUGACGCUGAGAUUCGAAAGCGUGGGGAGCAAACAGG